UCUUUUUUUUUUCCCCCCUCCUCCUCUCCUCCAAUUUUUUUUUUCUUUCUUUCUUUUGGCUUGGUGCCUUCCAGGGCUGGUCUCCCCGGCCCCUGAAAUAACCGCUUCCUGACCCCGGUCGCCAGCCCCGCCCCAGGUUGCCCACCUCCCCCCAGGCUCUGCCCCUGGCCCCGGAGGGUGGGAAGCUUUGCCCAGCGGGUCUCCGCAGCAGCAGCGUAGCCAGCACCUGCCUCAGUAUGCUUGGGGUCAACGACCCUCCUCUUUUCAUAAAAGACAUUAAGGCCGGACUGAAAAACUUAAAUGUCGUCUUUAUUGUCCUGGAGAUAGGACGCGUGACCAAAACCAAAGACGGCCAUGAAGUGAGGUCCUGCAAAGUAGCUGAUAAAACGGGAAGCAUCACUAUUUCUGUGUGGGAUGAGAUUGGAGGGCUCAUACAGACAGGGGAUAUUAUUCGGUUGACCAGAGGGUAUGCGUCAAUGUGGAAAGGAUGCCUGACACUUUAUACUGGAAGAGGUGGUGAACUUCAAAAAAUUGGGGAAUUUUGUAUGGUGUAUUCAGAAGUGCCAAAUUUCAGUGAGCCAAACCCAGAUUAUAGAGGGCAGCAGAACAAAGGGGUAUACAAUGAGAAGGAUAAAGUGAGCGCCAGUACAUAUGGGCCAGUGGGAAAUGGUGUUCAGACUGGCCCUGAGUCAAGGGGAUAUCAUCUUCCAUAUAGUGGUAGAAGCAAUGUCCGGGAACCCAUCAAUCCACAGCUACCAGGAGCUCGUUGUAGUCAAACAGUCAUGACCACAAUAAGUAAUGCCAGGGAUCCGAGGAGAGCCUUUAAAAGAUGACCUAAGCCAAAGAGACACGUGUAGUCUUUAAACUACAUGCCCUACUUGAACACUUAGUGCACUUUUAUUUAUCGUUAACUGUGAAAAGUUUGUCUCUUACGGGUUUCCUUUUACAUUGUUGGUUUGUUAAGAAGAAUGGUUGGUUUUUAUUGCAAAAGUUAAGCUGCUCAGUUACAUCCUAUUGAAGAAUAGGAACUCUGAAAGCAGGAACAUUUAUUUUUAGAGCAAGAACUUACUGGGUAUCACUUGAAAACCUGUCCCUGUUUCAAGGGUGAGUUACUUAAGACACCAGCUUUAUGGCCUGUGGAUCUUCUGCGUACUCUGUGAUGUUUGCCAUAACAUUUCAUGGGAAAUGUUCUUCUGUCUUAACUGGGAUGUUGCCACCUGAAGUGAUAGCCCCCGAGCCCGAAGCCUGGCCAGUGCGACGGUACGUCGAGUGCCUGUUCCCGGGAUGACUGGCUUGCUAGAGUGACCGCACUGCCAUUCAGGUUGUCCAAGAACAAAAUCGUCCUAAAUCUUGUUUAAUUACCAGAAAACCAGUUUCCUUAUCAGAAUUAUGGAAUAAAAUGUGUAAUAUAACAAGUCAUUUUUAGGCGAAAACUGUUCAAGAUAAUGCUCUUAACAUCUGUUAAAAACGUUGAAGAAAAAUUUACAGUGGAGUCCUUGAAUGUUUUAUUUUUGAAACAACCAUGUUAAAUAUUAGUGUGAUUGGAGGGAGUUGCAAUACCGCAGUGGACAGUGAUCUCAUUAGUACUAGUUGUAGUAAUUUUGAGACUCGGUCUUACUCUGUAGCCCUGGCUGGGCUGGAACUUGUCAUGUAGACCAGAGGGGUCUCUGAACUCUGAUCUUCCUGCCGCUGUCUCUGUCUCCUAGAUGCUGGGGUUAAAGUUGUGCACUGCCAUACCAAACUGAUCAGAUUAUUAAAAAAAAAAACCAAAAACUUGUGGUAGAUAAAUAUUGUAGCAAAUGCAAUUCAGAUUGAAUUUUUAUAGCCAUGUGACUACUUGUUCCAGGUCGUCAGAUAGAAGGAAAAAGGCUGGGGUAGGUACUGCCUUUCUUCUGGAGGUGUGUGUGUGUGUGUCUGUGUGUCUGUGUGUCUGUGUGCGUGCACAUGCGCGCGCUUUAGUUUCUGAACACAUCACAUAGCCUUAUUAGCAAAAGAUAAAUGGCGCAAGAAGUAUAUACCUCAGUUAGAAAUGUUAGGGUGGGGUUUGUGUGUCCUGGUACUUCUGUUUACUGUAGGGGUGGGUAAUUGGUAGAUAUUUUCGUUGUUAGUUUGUCUCUUUAAAUAUUACCUCCUGAGUAAAUACCUUGCUCUGCUGACGGCACAGCCACCAACUCUGCUCUUUCCCUAAGCAUGGAGAGUCCAGUCGAGUUCACUGAAGCUGAGUCAGCUUCAGCCUGGCUGCUCCCCAGCUCUGUACCUGCCAUUUCUCCUCACCUCACACUGUACAAUAAGAAAACUUGCAAAACCAAAGCAAAGUGCCAUCCAAACAGUAAUGACUAAUUGCCUUCCCAGUCUGCUUGGAUACCACUCAUCAAGACGUUAUGGAAGAAAGUGUCAACCUUCCUCCUCUCUGCCUUCAACUGUCAACGUUGACACAAAUUUCAGCAAAAACCAUGUAGUGUAGAACUCUGGAGUGGAGCAACAACGUAUGAUCAGGCCAGCUUGUCCCUUUUGUCUGGCCAGGUGUUUGGGGAGUUGCCACAGAAUAGAAAGAGGAAGUCCAAAUGGCCAAAGCCUGAAGUUUGCCUUCACAGAAGCGUUUAAACACCCAGGUUUUCCUAUACUGUACCAACUCUUUUCCUCCAUAGUCUUAGUAACUUGGUGUUAAAACUUGAAGAGUGAUUAGUUUGAAAGCAUAGUUUGCAGGUUAACUAGCCCUUUAUAUUUUUAAAUUAUAUACAGAGAUUAUAUAUUGAGAUUAUAUACAGAAUAGUCUAGUGCAGUAGUCCAAAGGAGCAUCACAGUUGCUAGUUUCCAUUUGCGGAGGGAUCUGACCUGUCAGUACAGUUGCUGAAAUGCUUCCCUUCUUGGGUAUCAUUACCUUAAUGGCUGUUUGCUUGAAGCCAUUUUAGGCUGUGUGUGACUCGACUCUAGUGAUGACUGAGAGGCAUUGGAAGCGACAGAACAUGUUCCCAAACAGACGUGUGUCAAGCUCUAACCCCUCUGAGCUCCCUCGCCUUCCUGUUUGUUUAAUGCCCAGUUUUUACUUCCCUGUCUCUCACCUGCUGAAAGUCUGAUCAUUUUUAGUAGACAAGGACCAUAUGGUUCCAAUCAUUCUCUAGUACAGGGAUGGGAUGAGGAGGUUUGGGGCAGAGAGAUUGGCUAGUGAGAUCCUUGGUGCUGAGGCUCUAGAUGUUGAUUUUAAGUGGGAGUGAUUAACAGCCCCACAGUUCACAAAGUAGUUUUAAUGAUUAACACUCAGGUAUGCUUCUGACUUCGAAUUGUGACCUUUGAAAGUAGCACCAUCACUGACGUAUGACACCCCAAGGGAGAAGCUAGAAAAUUGUUUGCUAGGUGUAUUGAAGUGCUUUAGAUGCAUCAAAGUUUUGCUUUAUUGGAAAUAUGCUAGAAGGCUAUAGCCAAAUUAUUUCGGGUUUCUGAAUGAACGAAGACCAAAGACACAAAAUCAAGUCCAUUAAGUUACUAAUAAGCAUUUUUCCACACUAACAUUAGACCUGAAAAUACUGCCAAGAAAUUUUUCUUCCAUUAUGAGGUGUUCAGUGUAAUAACAUUUAACAUUUCAACCAGUAGGUGUUUAAGCCAUUUGAAGAGUCAAGAUAUGUAAUCCAAAGUGUUAAGGUGUUCCCUGAGCAUUGAGAGCGAAGCCACAGUUCAUUGCGGACCUAUUGUUAGAUCCACAGACGUAUUGACGCACAUUGGAGGGCUACUGCAUGCUUUACCAUCCAUUUCCAGCUAAAUUAGAAAUCAUUGUAUUCAAAAUUCCCAUUUGGAUUCAAGCCAGGCUAGCUUUCUUGUUCACAGACUUGACUAUGGAGUAACCUUGAAUACAUGUUCAGCAAAAGUCUAGUUUUCGAUAACAUACAUGAAGCUUUUCAGAAAGAAGUAUGGAUUGCCCCUCUGACCUGGAAGGAAACUUAGGCCAGAAAGACCUGCAUCAAACACUUUGGAGAUCUCUUGUUCUUGCCAUCUCCCUUUCACAGUGAGAUAGCUUGAUUUUUGGAAUUGUGUAUGCUUUCUUGGUUCCUUUUCUAUAAAUCUAGAACACAGAAAUUGUAUUAAGGGAAAAUAUUUAGAAGGGUGUUUCUCAAGAGUACAGAAUUACUGGCUGAAGCAAGUGUUUCUGAAUAGAGAUAACUGGGCCCUCUACAUAGAAAUGCUAGAAAAUUAAAUUAGGUUCAAAGCCGGGUGGUGGUGGCGCACGCCUUUAAUCCCAGCACUUGGGAGGCAGAGGCAGGUGGAACUCUGUGAGUUCAAGGCCAGCCUGGGUUACAGAGUAAGUUCCAGGAAAGGCGCAAAGCUACACAGCGAAACCCUGUCUCGAAAAAAAACCAAAAUAAAUAAAUAAAUAAAUUAGGUUCAAAUAGAAUCAAAUUACGCCAAAGCUGAGAUCAGAUCUCUGCUGAGAAGAGGUUUUACUGCGGCCCAGGUUAGCCUAGAGACGUCCAACCUAAGGGCAGAAUUUUACAGAGGAGUAGCGUGGGCUCACUGACCUAUAUAUCCAGUUAAAACCAGCUUUUCCACCCGACCAUUAGGUUAAAACUCGAAAGUACGUUUUGGGCUUAGCUCAGGAAGUGGAUAUGGCAUCUGGUACUCCUGUCAUUCAACUCAAUAUGAAAAAAGUUUAAAGUAGGCCUGGAGGCAGUGGUAUCACAGAAUGCACAGGGCACACUGUCUCCACCUUCAGAUCUCGAUCCCAUCUCCAGCACAAUUCCCACAGGAGUCUGAAAUGUUCAACCCUAAGGAAGACUUCUGACCAGCCUGGAUACUUGAACAAAAAUGGUCAGCAUGAGAGCCACCUGCUGGUAAUUACUGUGCGGUUUCUGUGGACGAAUCUGCUUUAGCUUAAGGUGGAGAAGAGGGUCCCUUAUACCAUAGCAUGAUUUUUAUCUGAUUUAUGAAGGAAAUACAUGACAUUGAGAGGUGGUCAUAGUAAAACAGGCAAUGGAGAAAUUACCUUAAUAGCACAUCAAAUAUUGAACUGCCCCAAGAGAUGUAGAAGACACAGGACUGCCAAGGCCGUUUUUCGAGAUUUUGUAUGAUUGUCUUUUGCCUGUAUGUUUAUAUGUGCACCAUAUGUGUGCCUCUUGCCUGUGGACAAUAGAAGAGGGCGUCAGAACUAGAGUUAGAGAUGGUUGGUAGCUGCCAUUUGGGUGCUGAGAACUGAACUCAGGCUUUCUCCAAGAGCAGCAAGUACUUUUCACCAGUUAGUCUUCUCUCCAGCCUGUACUGGCAAGUCAGACUGUAUUUGUCAGGAAUAGUGACAACUGUUACAAAAGAUGGGUUUGGUGAAAACGAAGUAGAGCAUGACAUUGCUCCUAGGAACUAUUCUGUUAUCCAGUGCUUCUUUAUGCGAAGUGACUGGCGCUAUUCUUGCAGUUAUAUGAACUUUGCAUAUCAAAACAGAUGUCAGAAUGUCAAGGGAAAACAUGGUUUGGGGAUGAAGAGAUCUUGAUUUGAGUCCUGUAUCUGCUAUUUAUCAACAACAUGACAUGACAUUGGAGCUGUGUAGCCCUAUUUGAAGAAUCUAAGAUAGUGUAUACAAAGCAUCUCCAUAUCCAAGACUCAACAAAUAUUAAACCCUUCAUGGCCACUGGA